UGGAGCUGAGCCUGUGUGUGUGGAGCUGGCCCUGUGUGUGUGGAGCUGGCCCUGUGUGUGUGGAGCUGGGCCUGUGUGUGUGGAGCUGGCCCUGUGUGUGUGGAGCUGGCCCUGUGUGUGUGGAGCUGGGCCUGUGUGUGUGGAGCUGAGCCUGUGUGUCGCUGAGCUGGCCCUGUGUGUGUGGAGCUGGCCCUGUGUGUCUGGCCCUGUGUGUGUGGAGCUGGCCCUGUGUGUGUGGAGCUGGCCCUGUGUGUGUCGCUGUGCCAGCAGCCUUGGUUGUUUCUCAGUUUUAUAUUCCUGCACUGAGGAGAGUGUGCUUCCUCUGAAUAUCCCGUUCUCCUUUUUUUAAACAUAUACCUCACCUUCUGCCUUAGUUCCAAUUUAUUAAAAUGAUUGUAAAUUAGUUUGAAACAACAGACUUAUCCAAUCAUUUGUUUCUGAAAAAACUGAUAACGAAGUAAGAAUACUAAUAUAUAAAAAUGGUUUUCCUUUUAUUUUUGUACGUAUGUGCUGUGCACAGCUCAGUCAACUGUAUUCCUGAAAAUAAUAAUAAAAAUGUUUUUUAAAUG